UGGCGCCAUUGGCUUCGUUAGACCUAUUUUAGGGGGGCUGUAUUCUUAAACCCCCCCUAAAUAAUUUAGUGUUAUAUUUUUUCUUUUAUUUUUUUACAAAUACAUGCCAACAUAUUCAUUAUAAAGUGGCCCUAAUAUGACAUUAAAUAAAUAAUCGUAUAACCUGUCAUUAUUCACUCAGUUUCCCCUCACUUCAUAGCGAAAGGCAGAGAACCCCUCUCGUGCGUCGGCAUCUAAUCCCGUUCCACUUGUUCACGUCACCUCCUGUUUGGAAUUUGCGCGCGUCUGACUGUAUAGUUUAACGAUCACUUUGUGCAAAACCAGCACAUCUUCUUUGCUUUUUUGGCUUCACUGUGUCACUGUGCCGUGACACUCUGCUGUCUGUGUCGAUCGGUGCUGCGGGCUGGAACAUUAGCAUUAGCAUUAGCAGCCUGACAUACACAGGUGUGGAUCUGUUAUGUUGCUGGAUGCUUCGGCAUAUAGACCAUCAGAAUGCCUCCACCAAGGAAAAGAUUCAACAAACUUGGCUAACGAACUGUAAGAUCUUCAUCAAACUAAAUGGGACGCCGGAGGAAGCAAAAGUCUUGGUGGUGAGAAAAAUUUAAGAUUUUUAUAAGUAUUGAGAUUGAUGCAGUACUUGGUAUCAAUGUAGCUUUGUGACUUUUACAUCAUCUCAACGCGACCCACACAAAGAACACAGACCACACCAAGUAUUGAUAUGGACAUGUUACAGAAGACCCUACAACAUCAACAAAAAGAACUGGAAAUGUAAAUGUUUAGAAAGAAGUUGAUGAAUCCAGAUGGAUCUCUAUUACAAUCCCCAGAGAGAGUGACGCUUGGCUGGCAUUGUGGUACGGGUUUGUUCUCUCAAGAGAGCAGUCGGAUAUGGACACAGCGUGAAGGAGCCUUUUGGCCAUGGAGACCAGCUGCUGGGUCCUUGCCACACCAAUGUCCGUUUGGAGAGAUUGGAGGAGAUGUGGAUGAAGAGACAGGGCUGCGGAGCUUGCUCUGAGUUCCGGGACGGACAAGCUUCGCAGUGUCUUGGCUGAAUGAGCAGGUAUUGGACACUUCGGUCUCCUUAGACGCAUCCAUGCGUCUCACUCGUCCAUGCGGACUGGACACUGGCCGAGAGUUGGUGGAGUCGACUCUCUUGGUUGCUUUGUUGGGUCUGCUCCUGUCCCUGGCCGUGCUCCCUCCACCCCAGCAGAUGAUGGCGUGGAAGACCGCAGAGGCCACCUUAGUGUGUAUCUUUUUUUGUUGUUGUUUUACUUUUAUUUGGCUGGUUGCAGUUGCAUCAGCUCUGCUCUUUUAAUGUCCUUUUUGUUCUUUGAUGUUUGAUGUUUCCCUCUUACACACGUUUUUGUGUGCUAUGGCUAAAAGGUUUUUUUCUUCGUCCUUGGCCUCCGUCUUGACGCCCUCUCCAAAGGCCCAGGCAUGGACUGAAUUGUAUUUUCUCACGCACCGCCCUUCUUCCCUGUUUCUCACCAUUUUUGUAAGGGGCGCCGGAAGUUGGCAGACCCAUCAGCGAUCCUAUUCUGUCUCCCAGUAAUGUUUGUCUGCUCUUUAAUGGGAUUGUACUGAAAAUAUUAAUUUCCCCUCAGGG